rnacentral:tRNA from 1 species
CCAAAGUGCAAAUUUGGAGACACACCCUAAAGGGUGUCGGGGCCUUCUCCCUUU